ACCCGGAAGUGCGGCCGGUCCCUGGGCCGCCGCGCCGGCGGCGCCGAGGCAGUGGAAGCUGCGAGCCGGGCGGUGCGGGUGGCGUGCGGGGCGAUGCGGGCGGCGGGGCGGCUCGGGAGCGGCGCGGCGCUGUGGCUGCUGCUGGCGGCGCAGGCGGUGGCGGCGAUCGAGCCCAUCAGCGUGGGCAUCGCCAUCGGGGCCGCGUCGGUCAUCACCGGCUACCUCUCCUACCGGGACCUGUACUGUCGCUUCGCCGAGUGCUGCGGCAAGCAGCGGCCGCUCAACGCGACCGCCCUCAAGCUGGAUUUGGAGGAGAAGCUGUUUGGGCAGCACCUGGCCGCAGAGGUGAUUCUCAAGGCGCUGACUGGCUUCAGGAGCAACGACAAUCCCAAGAAACCACUGACUCUUUCCUUGCACGGCUCGGCUGGCACCGGCAAGAAUUUUGUGAGCCAAAUUGUGGCUGAAAAUCUUCAUGCAAAAGGCCUGAAGAGUAACUUUGUCCACCUGUUUGUGUCCACUCUGCACUUUCCUCACGAGCAGCACAUAAAGCUGUACCAGGCAAGGGACCCUGCUAUCCUGUCCACCCGCCUCUCCUCUGGGCCUCCUGUUUUCUCACUCCAGCCUCUGCUGCUUCUCUGCCCGCUGCAAGAGCCCCGGCCCUGCUGAGUUAAGGACACUCACACACCGUAACGCUUGGCCAUUGGCAGGGCUCUCCUACAACUUCUUCCUCGCUUGAUUCCAAAACAAUACAGUGGCGUAGAUGAUAUUUCCGUUAAAAGAUGGAGGCUAGAGGGGUGCGGUGACUUGCUGCUUACAAUCGUUGUGACCUGGUAGCAAAUCAGAAACUGGAACCCAAAUCUGCUGACUUCCAGGUCGCAGGGGAGCCACUUUCUGCAGUGAAUGAGCACGCUCAGCCUUCCCUUCCCGGCACCGGAUAAGGAGGGUGGUCUGGAAGGGUGCACGAAGUGCUGGGAACGGCUUGCUAAGGCUCCCACCCGUGGUGCGGGCUUGCCCUGCAUCUCGCAGACCAGAGGGCGUGUUUCCUCUCUCCCGCCUGCGCGCUCCCUGCUCCUCCAGCCCUCAAGUCCUUGGCGUUGCUUUCCUUCUUCCGAUGAAGCCUCAGACGCUGAACCUUCACACCACAUCUCCUUUUGAGAUGUUCUUUCCACAUGUGCUUACAGUGCGUUGUCUGGUCAGGUUCCCAUUCCAGUGAGUGUCAUCCUCGUCAGAGAAUGUUCCCACUGGACCAGUUACAGACGUGGAUUCGGGGUAACGUGAGUGCCUGUGCAAGCUCCGUGUUCAUAUUUGAUGAGAUGGAUAAACUGCACCCCGGGCUCAUCGACGCCAUCAAGCCGUUUCUGGACUACUAUGAGCAGGU